CAACAUCUCUAAUUAUUAGAGAAAUGAAAAUCAAAACUAUAAGGAUAUAUCACUUUACACCAAUCAGAAUGGCCAUCAUCCAAAAAGUUUACAAACAAUAAAUUCUAGAGGGUGUGGAGAAAAGGUAACCCUCCUUCACUGUUGGUGGGCAUGCAAAUCGAUGAAACUACUAGGAGAACAGUAUGGAGAUUCUUUAAAAUACUAAAUAUAAAACUACCAUAUUAUCCAACAAUCCCACUUCUGGCCAUAUAGCUGAAUAAAACCAUAAUUCAAAAAGGCACAAGAGCCUCAUUAUUCAUUGCAGCAUUAUUCACAAUAUUCAAGCCAUGAAACAACAUAAAUUUCCAUUGACAUAGGAGUGGAUAAUGAAUUUGUGGUAUGUAUAUAAAAUGGAAUAUUACUAAACCAUGAAAAGAAGGAAAUAAUUUAUUUGCAGAAACAUGGAUGGACCUAGAAGUUACCAUAUUAAGUGAAGCAAGCCAGACAGAGAAAGAUAAAUACUAUGCUAUCACUUAUAUGUGGAAUCUAAUAAAAUGAUACCUAAUAACUUAUUCAUAAAACAGAAACAAACUCACAGACUUUGAAACUAAAUUUACAUUUAUGAAAAGGGAAAAUUUGGGAUGAUUUUCAGUUCACACUACUGUAUAUAAAAUAGAUAACUAAUAAGGGCCUAUUGUAUAUAGCACAGAGAGGUCUACUCAAUGUUUUGUAAUAACCUACAUGGGAAAAAAAGAAUAGAUAUAUGUAUAUAUAUAAUUGAUUCAGUUUGCUGCAAACCUGAAGCUAAUACAACACUGUAAAUCAACUACAUGCCAAUUUUUUUAAAAUAUAUCUAAUGAAAAAAUUAAUAAAUAGUUUUAACCUAGAGACAUCAUUUUUUAGCAGGGAAAUACAUUGGUGAACACUGAGAAUUGAAAGAUCAAAAUAGCUAGAGUUUUCCCAAUGUAUCCAGCUGGAGUCUCUUGGUUUGCCAGCAGAAGUUAGCAAUUUUCUGUUUGUUUGUUUUGUUUUUCAACUACUGUUUCUAUUUAUUUACCUUUAUUACCUGAGCUACCUGUGGUCACUGUGACAUCAUCUAGACCUCCUAAGAACUAUGAACUAUAUAUCUUCUCCUUUAGGAAAAUGUGAAAUCACUAGGUCCAAUGCAAAAAUCCUCUGAUUCGUUCCAUACCUCUCUUCUUGAAAUCCCUGAGCAUAUAAAGAUAAUUUGAUUCAAACGAGUUUUAUUGUAUAAUCUCAUUUCUAACUUUAAUUGUUUUUUUAAAAUUUUAUCCACUGACAAUAAAAAUAUUCAAUAGAAACAGAAAGAACGUUGUGAUUAUUCAGAGCUAACUUACACCAAAUCUCUUUAAGCCACUUUUUAUUCUAAAAUUUAAGGAUUACUUAAUAAGUAGGCAGAGUUAGUUAAUUAUUAAGCCUUGGAAGGUAAAUAACUUUAUUCAUAUAGAAAUAAAAAUCUUAAGAUACUUCACUACCUGUAAUACAAUCCCUAUAAUACUGGAGAAUGAUUAUCAUUCAAUUAUUAUUGUAUUUCAGACUAUGGUUUACAAAUUUAGAUUUAAGAUCUGUUUUCAAUUAUACAACCAUUGUAUUUUCAAGCAUUUUUCAACUAAGCUACCAGUAACUUAUUUAAGAUAAAAUAUUUUCUUUGGUAAUUUUAACUUGAUUCAUUGGAGAAUCUAUAGUGAAUAGUCCUAAACACUCUGUAGACUGGCAAUAGAAAAUUAAUAACUUGAAGCAUGGCUGCUUAACCUACGCCUCUAACUGGGAACUCUAUGAUAUUUAUUGACCAGUUAGUUAAUAUCCUUUUAUAUAAAGGCUUCAAAUUUAUAUAGUACUACUGCAUUUUAUGGAGUAUGUUUUAAAAGAUAAAGUAUCAUUUUUCAAGUAAAUUUAACAAAGCUAAAUUCUGCUGGCAAACACUGGAGGCAUAUGACUCAGAGUUUUUUGAACUGAGAUGUAAAAAGAUAAGGUCUUUCCUAGAUGAUACCCAUCAAUCCUUGGUCAGGAGACUAUUCCCAGGGAGCUUAGUUCCCUGGUAAUUCUAACCUUACAUCUAUGUAUUCAGAGCUAAUUCUUGAGUCAGAGAAUGUCCUCUGGCAACAGGAUGCAGGUGCUAAGAUGGAAGAUAUGCUAGAAGGUGGACUGGGAUGCAGGGAAAAUACUCAAAGGAUAAGUAAGUAUUCAGAGGAUAUGUUAAGGCUUUGACAGGAUUCUGUGAUGUCUUCUUCAGGAAACAUUCUUUUAAAAAUGAGAAAUAAAUGAAAGGCAAUACUAUGUAAUGAAUAAUAGGGGUUACUGGAACUGAUAGGCCAGAAGUCAAUUCCAGACUUGGAAUAUACUGGAAAGCUAAACUUGAGAAAAUCAUUUCAUUUCUCUCAGACUGGUCUUCCUUAUCUAUAUAAUGGAGACUAUGGCACUUACCUUAAAAUUUGUAAAACUUAAAAUAAUGAACAUCUAAGAAGCGCUUACAACAGUAAGCGCUACUAAUCAAUAAAUAGUAAAUAUUAAUAUAUUCAUAGGGUAUUUGGUGUUUAUUUAUUUGUUUAUUUUUGAUUUUUUGGGCCACACCUCUGGCAUAUGGAAGUUCAAGGCUAGGGAUCUAAUCAGAUCUAUAGCUGCUGGCUUACAUCACAGCCACAGCAAAAGCCAGAUAUGAGCUAUGUCUUUGACUUACACCACAGCUUACGGCAAACGCCAGGUCCUUAACCCAUUAAGCGAGGCCAGCGAUUGAACCUGCAACCUCAUUGUUCCUAGUCAGAUUCAUAUCCACUGCACCAUUACAGGAGCUCCUGUCUGGUGUUUAAAAUAGUCUGUGUCAUUUAUCAACCUUAGUGUAAUACAAGAAAUCUCCCCCAAGCAUCUUUCUCAGGCAGCUGUUCAACCUUAACUUGAACCCUUCUAGUUACAGGGCAUACACAGUCUAAAAAAGUUUGUCCUUUCCAGUUUGGGGCAGGACUCAUGGCUAACAGGUUCUUUUUUAUGUUGGAACUGAAAUUACUUUACUAAUAAAUAGCCUCAUAGAUUAUAUCAAGAUAAUUACCUUCAUUAAUAAGUAGCCCCAGACCCACAUCUAAUGUUUUCAAGGGACCUGUCAUCUGAGAAACAUAGAAGAUCACAUACCCUUUGUCUCAAAGUUACAAUCAAACUAGCACAAUUGAUACAUAAAAUAUUUUCCAUUUUCCUGUUCUGAAAAGUGUAUCUAUAUAAUGGAAAAAUGAAAACUUAUGUAUUAAGAUGCAACUGAAAGAUACCAGAAUGUAAACUAUAAGAAAAUUUUAUUUCAUUAUAUUUCUCUGAAUAAUCAAUUAUUGAUGAGUCAGAGGUUUCUGCAUGAUUAAUAAAUUAAGAUGGACAUAAUUCAGAUAUUAUUAUGUUUAUUCUAUUCAAUCUUAGCCUGAUUAUUUUUUCAACAUCAUUAACUGUUACAAUCACAAUUUUAAUGUAUUUUUUUUUUCUUGACAGUACUACCAUAUUAGACAUUUCAAAAACAAAUAUUUUUAGAUAAUUUAUUUAAAUAAAGGGUAUUGUUAUGAUUUUUUAUUAGAGUUCAAAGAACAGAUGUUGCGAUAUUUUUCAAAAUAAAUUUUAUUGAGGUAUACUUUGCAAAAAGUGAUACACUUUUAAAAUGUAUAGUUCAUGAGUUUAACAAAUGGUUAAAGUAAUGUAACCACCUAAACAAUGAAGGUAUUUGAUGCUUCCAUCACUAUAAGAAGUUCCCUCAGCCCUAAAUAGCUCUUAUUGAGUUAUUGUAAUUCUUAGUUAUUUUAUAAUCCAACAUGGAAAAUUAUAGACUACUGAGAUAGUAAUCACUGGAAUUGUCAAUAAAAUUCUUAAAUUAAAAGUUAGGCUAAAAAAGGAAUUAUAGAUUUUAAAUAUUAUUCUAAAACAUUUAAUGAGGCAGCAAAUAAUGAAGUAUUACAAAUAUUAUCUUAGAAAAUAUUACAAAGCACUUAAAUUUCAUCUUAUAAAUUGCUAUCUCAAAUUGCCAUUUUCAUCAUCUUAAGAGAUAUGAAAUUAAGAGAUAUGAAAUUAAGAAAAUUAAGAAAAUAAGAGAUAUGAAAUUAAGCAGCAUAUGGUUUCAUAGAUUAUUGCUUUCAUUCAUCUUUCAAAAUUUCAAUGCUAGGAUAUUAUAAAGAAAAUGAAAAUGGCAGCAUGGUGCCAAAUUUCUCUUCAUAUACUUUGAUCUAUAAUUGCCAGAUAUUACUCUCUAUAGACAUCAGUGUUGAGAUUAUUUAUACAUUAAUCUUAUUCUUCAUAGCCAUGGGCAUGGUGCUCAUUUCCUUCUUUUAAUUAUCUUAUUUUUUAUAAUGUUACAUAUGUUGCGUUUUUCCACUCAGAUAUGUUCACUAUUUUUCUAUCUUUGCUGACAUUAUUAAAAGUAGAUAAGAAUUUAUACCAUCAUGUGAAUAGUGCAAGUUCAAACUUAAAUUUUGUUUCUGCUGAAGACCAUGAUUCACUCUUUAUUUGAAGAUCACUCUUGUUUCACUGUUUUUUUCUAUUACAUUUCAUAUCUUGUCUAAAAUAAAUUCAGUUGUUUUAUUUUGAUGAUUAUCUUUGGAAUGAAGUAUUGGAAAAAGAAAC
rnacentral:lncRNA from 1 species